GGCUCGUUGGUCUAGGGGUAUGAUUCUCGCUUCGGGUGUGAGAGGUCCUCGGUUCAAAUCCCGGACGAGCCC
rfam:Xiphophorus maculatus strain JP 163 A Contig14564.1, whole genome shotgun sequence.